rnacentral:rRNA from 1 species
UACGUAGGGUGCGAGCGUUGUCCGGAAUUACUGGGCGUAAAGAGCUCGUAGGUGGUUUGUCGCGUUGUCCGUGAAAACUCACAACUCAAUUGUGGGCGUGCGGGCGAUACGGGCAGACUGGAGUACUGCAGGGGAGACUGGAAUUCCUGGUGUAGCGGUGGAAUGCGCAGAUAUCAGGAGGAACACCCAUGGCGAAGGCAGCAAGCUGGGCGACAUCUGACGCUGAGGCGCGAAAGCGUGGGUAGCAAACAGG